rnacentral:sRNA from 1 species
UUUUUUCUUGCAGGGCAGCGCUACAGGUGCAGGGUCAGGAUUACUUAAAAGGGCUCUUCUUGAUCUGGCUCAGGGUUUAAAGGAGAGUGUUGGACAAACCCUUGAAGGAGUAG